AACCAAUGAUGACAGUGAUUCUGCCAUAUGAGUCCGAAUGAUUCUACAGAAAGUUCCAUUUUAUACUGAGGUU